GCAUUUCAUUUCUCACCUUUUCUAUUUUUUUUUUCAUUUCAGAGGGUUUUGGAAAAUGAUGAAAAUGUAGAAGAAGGGAAUGAAGAAGAGGAUUUGGAAGAGGAUAUUCCCAAGCGAAAGAACAGGACUAGAGGACGGGCUCGCGGCUCUGCGGGGGGCAGAAGGAGGCACGACGCCGCCUCUCAGGAAGAUCACGACAAACCUUACGUCUGUGACAUCUGUGGCAAGCGCUACAAGAACCGACCGGGGCUCAGCUACCACUAUGCUCACACUCACCUGGCCAGCGAGGAGGGGGAUGAAGCUCAAGACCAGGAGACUCGGUCCCCACCCAACCACAGAAAUGAGAACCACAGGCCCCAGAAAGGACCGGAUGGAACAGUCAUUCCCAAUAACUACUGUGACUUCUGCUUGGGGGGCUCCAACAUGAACAAGAAGAGUGGGCGGCCUGAAGAGCUGGUGUCCUGCGCAGACUGUGGACGCUCUGCUCAUUUGGGAGGAGAAGGCAGGAAGGA
rnacentral:sRNA from 1 species